GAUGAACGCUAGCUACAGGCUUAACACAUGCAAGUCGCGGGGCAGCAUGGGGGUUGCUUGCAAUCCCCGAUGGCGACCGGCGCACGGGUGAGUAACGCGUAUCCAACCUGCCCUUCACCACGGGAUAACCCGGCGAAAGUCGGACUAAUACCGUAUGUUGUCCAUUGACGGCAUCCGAUUUGGACGAAAGGCUUGGCGGUGAGGGAUGGGGAUGCGUCCGAUUAGCCAGACGGCGGGGUAACGGCCCACCGUGGCUACGAACGGUAGGGGUUCUGAGAGGAAGGUCCCCCACACUGGAACUGAGACACGGUCCAGACUCCUACGGGAGGCAGCAGUGAGGAAUAUUGGUCAAUGGGCGUAAGCCUGAACCAGCCAAGUAGCGUGCAGGAUGACGGCCCUAUGGGUUGUAAACUGCUUUUAUGCGGGGAUAAAGUGGCCCACGUGUGGGCUUUUGCAGGUACCGCAUGAAUAAGGACCGGCUAAUUCCGUG
rnacentral:rRNA from 1 species